rnacentral:rRNA from 1 species
GGACCGGGGGCUAUCGGAUUGAUACUAAGCCAUGCGAAUCAUUGUAGCAAUACAAGGCAUACGGCUCAGUAACGCGUAGUCAACCUAACCUAUGGACGGGAAUAACCUCGGGAAACUGAGAAUAAUGCCCGAUAAAACAUUAUGCCUGGAAUGGUUUAUGUUCCAAAUGAUUUAUCGCCGUAGGAUGGGACUGCGGCCUAUCAGUUUGUUGGUGAGGUAAUGGCCCACCAAGACUAUUACAGGUACGGGCUCUGAGAGGAGUAGCCCGGAGAUGGGUACUGAGACACGGACCCAGGCCCUAUGGGGCGCAGCAGGCGAGAAAACUUUGCAAUGUGCGAAAGCACGACAAG